AGCGAGGCUAGAGUCACAUCCUGACACUCCCUGUUGUCCUGGUGUGCUAGAGCUCUCGUAGAUUAAACUCUCUGCUUAUUCAUUGGCUGCUGCUGCUCCAUUGCCCAGCCAAUCACCAGCUCAGAAACACAC